GAAGACCUUCGGGGCAAGGUGAAAUUCCUGAUCGGCGGUAAUGGUGGCGUGCCCACACAAGCCCGCGAGCCGUAAGGCAGGACCCGGUGUGAUUCCGGGGCCGACGGUAUAGUCCGGAUGGGAGAAGGUCGGC
rnacentral:ncRNA from 2 species